CCUAUUCAAUGGGGAAGUACGAGUAUUCCAGCUUUCUAAACGGCUAAACGGAACAUUCACGCUAUUUUAGGUCUUCAAAAAAUCUCUUGAAUGGGGUUAUGUACGGUAUAUGGUCUAUAUAUAUACCUGAACAUAUCGGGAAUCGAUUUUCGGGGGUAUGUGUGAAGCAGUUAACAGCUAUUUGUGGACUCGGCCAGCGAGUUGAAGAGCUGUUAACGUUGGCAAAAAUAUUCGAUUACCAGCAUCGAAAAGGGUUUGAGUUGCUCCCAAAGGAGUUUGGUUUUUUGGGCUGAAUGAAACGCUCUUUUAUAAAUAAACUUAAUUUGAUUAGUAGGGUUCACUCGGUCACACACACACACAACAACACACACAUACACAUACAGAAAGAUGGAGAACAAGAGACCAGGAGAGAGCGACAGAAAGAGAGAGAGAGAGAGAGAGAGAGAGACAAAGGACAAUUCUCAGCCAAAACAGAGCAGAGAGAAAUUCCGAAAAUUGAUUUUACUUCAACAGUUUUAUUUGCCAACAUAAUUUAAUAAUAAACUUUGGCACUUUUAGCCAUGGCCCAGACCCCAGAACAAUGUCGGGCGGGAUUGCGGAUUGAGUGGGGAUUGAGGAGGGAUUGGAGUGGAAUCGAGUGAUGUGGAGUGGAGUGGUGUGGAGUGGAGGGGCCCUGCCAGCAGGGCUCAUGGCAUGAUGGGUUGGCAGGGACGUUCACUGAAGCUUGAAAUUUAUGUUCACGCCUGCAUUGUUGCCCCGCAGCUCUGGCAGGACACUUUCCAUCAGCAUCCCCCAACCGCCUGCAGGAGGCAGAGCCAGCUGUCAGGAGCACACGGAGCAAAGGGCAACCACUGGACAGAGGUUUUAGUUUCGGCUGCAGAUACCCGUGCGAGCUCGACUUUAAUUGGAAAAUCAUGGUGCAGCACCAGCAACAGGAGAAAAACAAUAUUUUAACAAAUAAAUUAUGUUUGAAGUUUGAGUUUGGUUUGGUUUGGGGUCCCUCUUUAUUAUCGUUCCAUUCUGGUUUCCGCCCCAAAAAUAUAUACCAAUUAAUUAAAUG
rnacentral:lncRNA from 1 species